CUACAUGUAUGGAGGAGGAGCUGGAACAAUGACAUUGGAUGAAUUGCAUUCACUUGAAAAAUACCUUGAACUUUGGAUGUUUCAUAUUCGUUCAGCAAAGAUGGAUAUCAUGUUUCAAGAGAUCCAGUUGCUGAAGAAUAAGG